CGGCGAGUGAAGCGGCAACAGCUCAAAUUUGAAAUCUGGCUCUCGGGCCCGAGUUGUAAUUUGUAGAGGAUGUUUCUGGCGACGUGUCUUCCGAGUUCCCUGGAACGGGACGCCAUAGAGGGUGAGAGCCCCGUCCGGUCGUACGCCUAGCCUCUGUGAAACUCCUUCGACGAGUCGAGUAGUUUGGGAAUGCUGCUCAAAAUGGGAGGUAUACGUCUUCUAAAGCUAAAUACCGGCCAGAGACCGAUAGCGCACAAGUAGAGUGAUCGAAAGAUGAAAAGCACUUUGAAAAGAGGGUUAAAUAGUACGUGAAAUUGCUGAAAGGGAAGCGCUCAUGACCAGACUUGGGCUCGGUGAAUCAUCCGGCGUUCUCGCCGGUGCACUUUGCCGGCCCAGGCCAGCAUCAGCUCGCCUCGGGGGAUAAAGGCUUCGGGAAUGUAGCUCCCUCGUGGAGUGUUAUAGACCGUUGCGUAAUACCCUGGGGCGGGCUGAGGUACGCGUUCUGCAAGGAUGCUGGCGUAAUGGUCAUCAGUGACCCGUCUUGAAACACGGACCAAGGAGUCGUCUUCGUAUGCGAGUGUUCGGGUGUCAAACCCCUACGCGUAAUGAAAGUGAACGUAGGAGAGAGCUUCGGCGCAUCUCCGACCGAUCCUGAUGUUCUCGGAUGGAUUUGAGUAAGAGCAUACGGGGCCGGACCCGAAAGAAGGUGAACUAUGCCUGUAUAGGGUGAAGCCAGAGGAAACUCUGGUGGAGGCUCGCAGCGGUUCUGACGUGCAAAUCGAUCGUCAAAUAUGGGCAUGGGGGCGAAAGACUAAUCGAACCUUCUAGUAGCUGGUUUCCGCCGAAGUUUCCCUCAGGAUAGCAGUGUUGAACUCAGUUUUAUGAGGUAAAGCGAAUGAUUAGGGACCAGGGGGCGCUUUUUAGCCUUCAUCCAUUCUCAAACUUUAAAUAUGUAAGAAGCUCUUGUUGCUUAAUUGAACGUGAGCAUUUGAAUGUAUCAACACUAGUGGGCCAUUUUUGGUAAGCAGAACUGGCGAUGCGGGAUGAACCGAACGCGAGGUUAAGGUGCCAGAGUAGACGCUCAUCAGACACCACAAAAGGUGUUAGUACAUUUAGACAACCGGACGGUGGCCAUGGAAGUCGGAAUCCGCUAAGGACUGUGUAACAACUCACCGGUCGAAUGUACUAGCCCUGAAAAUGGAUGGCGCUCAAGCGUCUCACCCAUACCUCGCCCUCAGGGUAGAAACGAUGCCCUGAGGAGUAGGCGGACGUGGAGGUCAGUGA
rnacentral:rRNA from 1 species